AUUACACUCUCCUUGGUUUCUCGUGUUGCUAAAGGUUUGGAACUGAACUCGAUAGGCCAUCCUUCUAUUUAUUAUACACGAACAAAAAAAAAACACCUUUGUGCGCAGAAAAUUUCCUUGAAGCAUUUAUUAUUUUCUUUAAAGAAAAGCGGGCAGGAUGCCUGAGGCUGAGGAGGUUGUUCUUAUUCCUGAUUCACAAUGUAAGAAUCGUACAGCGAUAGGCAAAUGAGCCAGUUCAUGGGGCCUCAAUUCAGCGGGACAAAACAAAAAAAAAACUUUGAGCACUUCUGCCGGCUUCCAAACAGCAGUUGCUGGAUCGCCUGAACACAUUGACCCAAGAUGGUGGGGGUAGCAGAUGAUGAAAAUAAAGAUUAAGAACUGUUGGCUGCUGAACGAUUGCUGGCUGUAGCUUUGCUUACUGUCUCUCAAGGCAACAGGCUGCUGGAAUUGAAGGGCUUUCUGAGAAGAUGUGUGUGAAGGCAAGAGGGAAAUGAAAGUUUCCACUCGAGGGACCAUGACCACAAGUUAGAAGAUAAAGCUACAUCUACAGAAUCCAUACCUUGAUCACAGAUGCUGCAAUUGGACAUUGGAGUAAAGAAUGCUUUCCACGUCUUCACACACUCUCGUAAAAAGGAGGUAAUGGCAGCGGUAAUGAACCACCAAUUAAAAAGGGGCCUUAAGACUGAGUUUUUUUUUCGUGAAAUUUAAUUUAUUUUUUAAACAGAAUUUUCUUUUCAUUUUGCAACACUGCCGUGCUGAUUUUCCAGCGUCGCCAUGGUUACUGGCCUCCGGUAAGAGUACCACAGCUGCUCAGUCGUCCGAAAAGUCCGGAUGAAAAUUGGCUUGUCAGUCAGCGAGUGACUCGACAUGGGUGUUGCAGUUUCAUGUGACAACCUGGAGUAUGUUCCUUGGCCUUGUCCUGUUACGGGCCGAUGGGUGUUCUGUACACCUCAUGCCUCCAUCCUGCAGUCCCAUCCGAAAGAACGCAAAAGCAUCUCAGUUGAAAAAAAUAAUGAAUUAAUAAUAUCCAGGUCUCCCAAAUAUUUUCAAAUAGAAAGAAAGGCCAUGCAUUCGUAUAGAAUUCUCAGGACAUCCCCAGGUGCUUUUACAGCCAGUGCUGUGCUUUUGAAAU